UACAGAGGGGGCAAGCGUUGUUCGGAAUUAUCUGGGCGUAAAGGGCGCGAUAGGUGGCCUUCUAAGUUGAACGUGAAAUCCCUGGGCUCAACCAGGAACUGCGUCCAACGACUGGGAGGGCUUGAAUCCGGGAGAGGGAUGCGGGAAGUUCCAGGUGUAGCGGUGAAAUGCGUAGAUAUACUGGAGGAACACCGGUGGCGAAGGCGGCAUCCUGGACCGGUAUUGACACUGAGGCGCGAAAGCCAGGGGAGCAAACGGG
rnacentral:rRNA from 1 species